UACAAUUGAACGGCUUGCUCAAGGGCGUCUGGCUCAUCCCCGAUAGGAAGGGGGUGAUGCUCAUGUCAACGUUCCAAGCGAUUUCCCUAAUGCUUUUAUUCGGGAUGUUUAUCCUUGCUUUGUUGACGUAUAUAAACAAAAAAUAGACUCCCCCUUGAGCUUUGGUAGGUGAAAGGGAAAGUCUAUCCUUAAAACUAUCUAAUUGAUAAGCCAGCCCCUUGAAGGGCCUCAUUGUACAUUGCCGGGAUGUUAGCGCAUCCUGG
rnacentral:sRNA from 1 species